UGACUUUGAUGGUCAAAUCACCCUCUACACAGAGUAGAGAGUACAGACUCCUCUCCAAGCAAAAGAACUUUGAAAACCUCGUCGGCUCGUCUACCCACCCAAUCCUCAACCCAGCCACUUCGAACUCUCGUGUAUACCUUGUAGUAAUUUGAAGGCCAAAUAUCUUAUUUUGUAUAUAUUGUCUGUGUUUUGACAAUUUGUAAAUAUUUCGAAGGAUAUGUCGACAGAAAUCCGUAGUUGUUACUUUAACUGGAGCAGAGUUGUAUAAUAUCUCGCACAAGUACGGGUAUUAAUUAUGAGAGAGAAGUGAUGUGGUUUUGCUGUGUUAAUGUUGAGGAUUGUUGAAUGAUCUGGAUUCUGAUCUAGUGGUGCUCUUGGUGAAAGACCAGGGGUUUCAUAAUGUCGUCGCUGAGUAGAGAGCUUGUAUUCUUGAUCUUGCAGUUUCUUGAUGAGGAGAAGUUCAAGGAGACUGUUCACAAGCUUGAACAGGAAUCUGGGUUUUUCUUCAAUAUGAAGUAUUUUGAGGAUGAGGUGCACAAUGGAAAUUGGGAUGAUGUCGAGAGGUAUCUCUCUGGGUUCACAAAAGUUGAUGACAAUCGUUAUUCUAUGAAAAUCUUUUUCGAGAUUAGGAAGCAAAAGUAUCUUGAGGCAUUGGAUAAGCAUGACCGGUCCAAGGCUGUCGAUAUAUUAGUAAAGGAUUUGAAAGUGUUUGCCACGUUUAAUGAGGAGCUUUUCAAAGAAAUCACUCAGCUAUUAACGUUGGAGAAUUUCAGGGAGAAUGAACAACUAUCCAAAUACGGAGAUACAAAGUCGGCAAGAGCAAUCAUGUUGGUUGAGCUUAAGAAGCUUAUUGAAGCAAAUCCCUUGUUUCGCGAUAAACUGCAAUUUCCCAACCUUAAAAAUUCAAGAUUGCGAACUCUCAUUAACCAAAGCUUGAACUGGCAGCACCAGCUUUGUAAAAACCCUCGACCAAAUCCAGAUAUAAAAACCCUUUUUGUUGAUCAUUCAUGUGGACAACCAAAUGGUGCCAGGGCUCCCUCUCCUGCAAACAGUCCAUUGCUUGGAUCCUUACCUAAAUCUGGAGGCUUCCCGCCUCUGGGUGCACAUGGGCCAUUUCAACCUGGACCAGUACCAACUCCAAUGCCACUUACAGGUUGGAUAACCAAUCCUUCCACUGUAACUCACCCAGCAGUUUCUGGAGGAGGGGCUAUUGGUCUUGGACCUCUUGGUGCUCCAUCAAUCCCAGCUGCUUUGAAGCAUCCAAGGACUCCGCCAACCAACCCUUCUGUAUACUACCCAUCUGGGGAUUCUGAUCAUGUUGCCAAAAGAACAAGACCCGUGGGAAUCUCUGAUGAGGUUAAUUUGCCAGUUAAUGCGCUGUCAGUAACAUUUCCGGGUCAGGGUCAUGGUCAUGGUCAUGGUCAUGGUCAUGGCCAGGCAUUUAGUGCACCAGAUGACUUGCCGAAGACUGUCACACGGACUCUAAAUCAAGGAUCGUCUCCCAUGAGCAUGGAUUUUCACCCUGUUCAACAGACUCUUAUUUUAGUUGGUACGAAUGUGGGCGACAUAGGCUUGUGGGAGGUUGGCUCCAGAGAGCGAGUGGUUUUAAGAAACUUUAAGGUGUGGGACCUCAGUGCAUGUUCGAUGCCUUUGCAGGCAGCUCUGGUCAAAGAUCCCGGUGUAUCUGUGAACCGUGUGAUUUGGAGCCCUGAUGGUAGUUUAUUUGGAGUUGCAUACUCUAGGCACAUUGUGCAAAUAUAUGCUUAUCAUGGGGGUGAUGAUGUGAGACAGCACCUGGAGAUUGAUGCUCAUGUUGGCGGAGUAAAUGAUCUUGCAUUCUCCCAUCCAAAUAAGCAACUUUGCGUGAUUACCUGUGGUGAUGACAAAACUAUAAAGGUUUGGGAUGCUGCUUCUGGUACUAGGCAGUAUAUCUUUGAAGGUCAUGAGGCACCUGUUUACUCCGUUUGCCCUCACCAUAAGGAAAACAUUCAGUUCAUCUUUUCAACUGCGCUAGAUGGAAAGAUUAAAGCAUGGUUGUAUGACAAUUUGGGAUCUCGAGUUGAUUAUGAUGCUCCUGGUCGCUGGUGCACAACCAUGUCUUACAGUGCUGAUGGUACAAGACUUUUCUCGUGUGGAACGAGUAAAGAUGGUGAAUCAUAUAUUGUUGAAUGGAAUGAAAGUGAAGGGGCUGUAAAAAGGACCUAUCAAGGAUUCCGCAAACGUUCUUUGGGUGUUGUGCAGUUUGACACUACAAAAAAUCGAUUUUUAGCUGCUGGUGAUGAUUUCUCCAUAAAAUUCUGGGAUAUGGACAAUGUUCAACUCUUAACAUCAAUUGAUGCUGAUGGAGGCCUCCCAGCUAGCCCCCGCAUCCGCUUCAACAAGGAUGGCAAUCUCUUGGCAGUUUCUUCCAAUGACAACGGGAUAAAAGUUUUGGCAAAUUCAGAUGGUAUUCGAUUGUUGCGUACAUUUGAAAAUCUCCCUUACGAUACCUUAAGAGCAUCCGAAGCUACAAAGCCUGUCAUAAAUCCAAUUGCAGCGGCUGCGGCUGCAGCUGCAGCUGCUAGUAGUUCUGGACUUGCUGAGAGAGGUGCCUCCGUGGUUGGCAUUACUGCAAUGAACGGGGAUGGCCAGAACUUGGGGGAUGUAAAACCGAGAAUAACUGAAGAAGCUAAUGACAAAUCAAAGAUAUGGAAGCUGACUGAGAUCAAUGAACCAUCUCAGUGUCGGAAUUUGAAGCUACCUGAUAACCUGAACCUGAGAAUAACCAGGAUAUCAAGGUUAAUAUACACAAACUCAGGAAAUGCUAUUUUAGCAUUGGCAUCGAAUGCUGUUCACCUUCUCUGGAAAUGGCAAAGAACUGAACGCAACACAACUGGAAAGACAACAGCCAGUGUGCCACCUCAAUUAUGGCAGCCAUCGAGUGGCAUUUUAAUGACAAAUGACACUGCUAACAGUAAUCCUGAGGAUGCUGUUCCGUGCUUUGCUUUGUCAAAGAAUGAUUCUUAUGUCAUGUCAGCAUCUGGUGGAAAGAUAUCUCUUUUCAAUAUGAUGACAUUUAAGACAAUGACCACUUUCAUGCCUCCGCCACCUGCGGCAACAUUUCUUGCUUUCCAUCCUCAAGAUAAUAAUAUUAUUGCUAUUGGCAUGGAUGAUUCCACAAUUCAGAUAUAUAAUGUUCGUGUGGAUGAGGUUAAGAGCAAACUGAAAGGCCACUCUCAAAGAAUAACAGGCCUUGCCUUCUCUCAUGUAUUGAAUGUGCUAGUUUCAUCAGGGGCAGAUGCUCAGCUCUGUGUAUGGAGUUCUGAUGGUUGGGAGAAGCAGAAGUCUAGAUUUUUGCAGCUUCCUUCUGGAAGGACACCAACAGGACAAUCAGACACACGCGUACAGUUUCAUCAGGACCAGACACACUUCCUAGUUGUGCAUGAGACUCAGCUUGCCAUUUAUGAAACAACAAAACUAGAAUGUGUAAAGCAGUGGUUUCCCCGUGAAUCUUCCGCCUUAAUAUCUCAUGCGACAUUCUCAUGUGAUAGUCGGCUAGUAUUUGCCAGCUUUUCCGAUGCAACUGUGUGUGUCUUUAGUGCUGGUACCGCAAAUCUCAGGCUGCACUGCCGUAUCAACCCCUCUUGUUAUCUUCCAAAUGUUAGGGCAUCUUCUGUUCAUCCGCUUGUGAUUGCUGCACAUCCACAGGAACCAAAUCAGUUUGCUUUGGGAUUAUCAGAUGGUGGGGUUCAUGUCUUUGAGCCCCUUGAAUCGGAAGGCAAAUGGGGUGUUCCUCCACCAGUUGAGAAUGGUUCAGCUGGCAGUGUGCCAGCUACUCCUUCGGUUGGACCCUCUGGUUCAGAUCAAGCCCAACGAUGAUUCGAUGGCUGUCUGAAUAAGAGUUCUUUUACAUGCUUGGCUUGGUGGCCCAUCACUAAUUUAGUUGAGGUUCAUGAUAUUCUAUUUACUCGAGAAACGACAUGAGAAGCUGUAGAUUAACAUGUUGGGUAUCUGAGGUAAUUGUUGUAGGGAAACUGCUAGUCAUUUUUUCUUUUGCUUUGGAAAGUACAUUACUUCAGCCAGAUCCUACCUAUGUUCCUCUUUUCCAUUAUAUUUCUUCUUUCAGUGGUGGAAUGGCCACUCUCAUGAUUUAUAUUUCGAGUUCUUAAAUUAGAAAUAACUGUUGUCCUUACCAAAUUUGGUAACCUUACUAUUCACACAAGGCAUUGACAUUAUAAUUUGUAAAGAUGUCUGUCAAAUGUGGCAUUGAAUGGUAGGAUAAUGACACAGAAUACCCAUAUA